AUUGAACGCUGGCGGCAUGCCUUACACAUGCAAGUCGAACGGUAACAGGUUAAGCUGACGAGUGGCGAACGGGUGAGUAAUGUAUCGGAACGUGCCCAGUCGUGUGGGAUAACUGCUCGAAAGAGCAGCUAAUACCGCAUACGCCCUGAGGGUGAAAGCGGGGGAUCGCAAGACCUCGCGCGAUUGGAGCGGCCGAUAUCCGAUUAGGUAGUUGGUGAGGUAAAGGCUCACCAAGCCGACGAUCUGUAGCUGGUAUGAGAGGACGACCAGCCACACUGGGACUGAGACACGGCCCAGACUCCUACGGGAGGCAGCAGUGGGGAAUUUUGGACAAUGGGCGCAAGCCUGAUCCAGCCAUGCCGCGUGCGGGAAGAAGGCCUUCGGGUUGUAAACCGCUUUUGUCAGGGAAGAAAAGGUUCUGGCUAAUACCUGGGACUCAUGACGGUACCUGAAGAAUAAGCACCGGCUAACUACGUG
rnacentral:rRNA from 1 species